rnacentral:rRNA from 1 species
GAAGCGUCUGGAAAGGCGCGCGAUACAGGGUGACAGCCCCGUACACAAAAAUGCACAUGCUGUGAGCUCGAUGAGUAGGGCGGGACACGUGGUAUCCUGUCUGAAUAUGGGGGGACCAUCCUCCAAGGCUAAAUACUCCUGACUGACCGAUAGUGAACCAGUACCGUGAGGGAAAGGCGAAAAGAACCCCGGCGAGGGGAGUGAAAAAGAACCUGAAACCGUGUACGUACAAGCAGUGGGAGCACGCUUAGGCGUGUGACUGCGUACCUUUUGUAUAAUGGGUCAGCGACUUAUAUUCUGUAGCAAGGUUAACCGAAUAGGGGAGCCGAAGGGAAACCGAGUCUUAACUGGGCGUUAAGUUGCAGGGUAUAGACCCGAAACCCGGUGAUCUAGCCAUGGGCAGGUUGAAGGUUGGGUAACACUAACUGGAGGACCGAACCGACUAAUGUUGAAAAAUUAGCGGAUGACUUGUGGCUGGGGGUGAAAGGCCAAUCAAACCGGGAGAUAGCUGGUUCUCCCCGAAAGCU